AGUGGCAAACGGGUGAGUAACACGUGGGUGACCUGCCUUCGAGUGGGGGAUAACGUCCCGAAAGGGACGCUAAUACCGCAUGACAUCCUGCUCUUGGACGAGCGGAGAUCAAAGCUGGGGAUCGCAAGACCUGGCGCUUGAAGAGGGGCCCGCGUCUGAUUAGCUAGUUGGUGAGGUAACGGCUCACCAAGGCGACGAUCAGUAUCCGGCCUGAGAGGGCGGACGGACACACUGGGACUGAGACACGGCCCAGACUCCUACGGGAGGCAGCAGUGGGGAAUUGUUCGCAAUGGGCGCAAGCCUGACGACGCAACGCCGCGUGGAGGAUGAAGAUCUUCGGGUCGUAAACUCCUGUCGAAUGGGACGAAUGGGUUGCGGGUUAACAGCCCGUGACCGUGACGGUACCGUUAAAGGAAACCCCGGCUAACUCCGUGCCAGCAGCCGCGGUAAUACGGGGGGGGUAAGCGUUGUUCGGAAUUACUGGGCGUAAAGGGCUCGUAGGCGGCCAACUAAGUCAGACGUGAAAUCCCUCAGCUUAACUGGGGAACUGCGUCUGAUACUG
rnacentral:rRNA from 1 species